rnacentral:rRNA from 1 species
AGUGAACGCUGGCGGCAGGCCUAACACAUGCAAGUCGAACGGCAGCACAAGAGAGCUUGCUCUCUGGGUGGCGAGUGGCGGACGGGUGAGGAAUGCAUCGGAAUCUGCCCAUUUGUGGGGGAUAACCUCGGGAAACCGGGACUAAUACCGCAUACGACCUACGGGUGAAAGCAGGGGAUCUUCGGACCUUGCGCAGAUGGAUGAGCCGAUGCCGGAUUAGCUAGUUGGAGGGGUAAUGGCCCACCAAGGCGACGAUCCGUAGCUGGUCUGAGAGGAUGAUCAGCCACACUGGGACUGAGACACGGCCCAGACUCCUACGGGAGGCAGCAGUGGGGAAUAUUGGACAAUGGGCGCAAGCCUGAUCCAGCCAUGCCGCGUGUGUGAAGAAGGCCUUCGGGUUGUAAAGCACUUUUGUUGGGAAAGAAAAGCAGCCGGUUAAUACCCGGUUGUCAUGACGGUACCCAAAGAAUAAGCACCGGCUAACUUCGUG